rnacentral:lncRNA from 1 species
CCCUUUAAUCAUUUUUGAUGAUAUUGGGAAAAAGUAGAAAUGACAAAAUAUCUGGUCCCAUGUUACAUUAAUGUCUUGACUACUGAAAUCAUGUAUGGGACUGGUUACCAGCAAAUCUCUGCAUUCAUCCUGUUGAAAAUAUGGAAAACCGACGUGUCCCGGUUCAUGGGUUUUCUAAUCGACUUUCUGAUUUGUCCAUACGCCAUCCUCGAUCAUGCUGAAACUUCGUAACGAAUAUACGAGAAUGGACGUUGUUAAUCUAAUUUGGUUCAUGAAAUUUGAUUGUUUAUCUGAAUUGGC